GAGUUUGAUCGUGGCUCAGAUUGAACGCUGGCGGCAUGCCCUACACAUGCAAGUCGAACGGCAGCACGGGAGCUUGCUCCUGGUGGCGAGUGGCGAACGGGUGGGUAAUGCAUCGGAACGUAUCCUGGAGUGGGGGAUAACGUAGCGAAAGUUACGCUAAUACCGCAUAUUCUGUGAGCAGGAAAGCGGGGGACCUUCGGGCCUCGCGCUCUUGGAGCGGCCGAUGUCGGAUUAGCUAGUUGGUGAGGUAAAGGCUCACCAAGGCGACGAUCCGUAGCAGGUCUGAGAGGAUGAUCUGCCACACUGGAACUGAGACACGGUCCAGACUCCUACGGGAGGCAGCAGUGGGGAAUUUUGGACAAUGGGGGCAACCCUGAUCCAGCCAUGCCGCGUGAGUGAAGAAGGCCUUCGGUUGUAAG
rnacentral:rRNA from 1 species